GAGUUUGAUCGUGGCUCAGAUUGAACGCUGGCGGCAGGCCUAACACAUGCAAGUCGAGCGGAUGACGGGAGCUUGCUCCUUGAUUCAGCGGCGGACGGGUGAGUAAUGCCUAGGAAUCUGCCUGGUAGUGGGGGACAACGUUUCGAAAGGAACGCUAAUACCGCAUACGUCCUACGGGAGAAAGCAGGGGACCUUCGGGCCUUGCGCUAUCAGAUGAGCCUAGGUCGGAUUAGCUAGUUGGUGGGGUAAUGGCUCACCAAGGCGACGAUCCGUAACUGGUCUGAGAGGAUGAUCAGUCACACUGGAACUGAGACACGGUCCAGACUCCUACGGGAGGCAGCAGUGGGGAAUAUUGGACAAUGGGCGAAAGCCUGAUCCAGCCAUGCCGCGUGUGUGAAGAAGGUCUUCGGAUUGUAAAGCACUUUAAGUUGGGAGGAAGGGCGAGUAAGUUAAUACCUUGCUGUUUUGACGUUACCGACAGAAUAAGCACCGGCUAACUCUGUGCCAGCAGCC
rnacentral:rRNA from 1 species